GUCGUGGCCGACUCUGGGGUUGUGGCGCUCAUCUCACUUUAUUGGCCAAGGGAGCCAGCCUUCUGGGUCAUGUGGCCAGCAUGACUAAGCCGCUUCUGGCGAACCAGAGCAGCGCAUGGAAACGCCGUUUACCUUUCCGCCGGAGCGGUACCUAUUUAUCUACUUGCACUUUGACGUGCUUUCGAACUGCUAGGUUGGCAGGAGCAGGGACCGAGCAACGGGAGCUCACCCCGUCGUGGGGAUUCGAAUCGCCGACCUUCUGAUCGGCAAGCCCUAGGCUCUGUGGUUUAACCCACAUCGCCAUCCGCGUCCCAGCUGCCUUGAGCAUGGAUUAAACUUUGGAAAGGUGGCAUACAAAUAAAAUGACUGAUUGAUUGAUGUA